rnacentral:rRNA from 1 species
GACGAACGCUGGCGGCGUGCUUAACACAUGCAAGUCGAACGGAAAGGCCCUGCUUUUGCGGCGUGCUCGAUAGGCGAACGCGUGAGUAACACGUGAGUAACCUGCACUUGACUUUGGGAUAACUUCAGGAAACUGGGGCUAAUACCGGAUAGGAUCUCCUGCUGCAUGGUGGGGGUUGGAAAGUUUCGGCGGUUGGGGAUGGACUCGCGGCUUAUCAGCUUGUUUGUGAGGUAGUGGCUGACCAAGGCUUUGACGGGUAGCCGGCCUGAGAGGGUGACCGGCCACAAUGGGACUGAGAUACGGAGCAGACUCCUACGGGAGGCAGAAGUGGGGAGUAUUGCACAGUGGGCGGGAGCCUGAUGCAGCAACGCCGGGUGCGUGAUACCGGCCUUCGGGUUGUAAACAAAUUUGGACGGUGCUGUGGAGUGAGUGACGGUACUGGGUAAAGAAGCACCGGCUAACUACGUG